CUUCUCGGGAGUGCUUGCUCGCAUGAAGGCCUUCUUUUUGGCUGAUCUAAAUUCUUUUUUCAAAUCUCUAAAAUCUUUUCAUAGGUUGAAGAUGAAUUUCUAGAGGAGAUGAAGAGGUGGAAGAAAGAUGAAGAAGAAAAUAAUUUUUUCUAAUUUAUUCUCUCUUUUCAAAUCCUUAGAACCAAAAAUCUGGUAUUUAGGUUUUUGCACACACCCC
rnacentral:lncRNA from 1 species